UACUUCCCACUAGUUUUCUUCUUCAUUUUUUUUCUCUCUCUCUCCAAUUCUAGGGUUUCUAAUUUUCUCUCUCUCUCUAAAAAAAAACUCUACUAAUUGGUAGCAUGCUUUAACAAGAAUCAAGUAAUAACAUAGCUUGAAAGACUUUGCAACUACCAAAAGGAAAAUUUAAGAGUUAUAACGAGAGAAUGUCUUGUUCGAGUAGCAGCUCCUCGAAUCCUCCCUGUGCAGCUUGUAAAUUUUUGCGAAGAAAGUGUUUACCAGGUUGCAUAUUUUGUCCUUAUUUUCCACCAGAAGAUCCACAAAAAUUUUCAAAUGUACACAAAAUAUUUGGUGCAAGCAAUGUAAGUAAACUUCUGAAUGAAAUUGAAGCUCAUCAAAGAGAAGACGCGGUGAAUUCUCUUGCUUAUGAAGCUGAAGCGCGCAUGAAAGAUCCAGUUUAUGGUUGUGUUGGAGCUAUUUCUGUCCUACAAAGACAAGUUAUACGGCUUCAGAAAGAACUGGAUGCUACCAAUGCUGAUUUGAUGAGAUAUGCUAAUGCUAAUUAUGGGACAAAUAAUUAUGGACUUUAUAAUAAUAAUAAUAAUACUACAUGGAACAAUAACCCUAACCCUCAGCCUGAUGAUGAUAUACACUAGCAUCUCCCAAUUAUCAUAUCUAUGAAUUGUGUAAUCCUACCUAUAUAUAUACUUACUUACUUACUUGUUCAUCAUUUAUAUUAAUUAAUAAUAAUUACUCCGUCUGUAUUGUGUACAAAAACUCAAUAAUUAUAUGUGAUUUGGGUAUUGUUAA